rnacentral:lncRNA from 1 species
UUUUUUUUUAUUUUUUUAUUUUGCCAUUUCUUGGGCCGCUCCCACGGCAUAUGGAGGUUCCCAGGCCAGGGGUCUAAUUGGAGCUGUAGCGGCCGGCCUACACCACAGCCACAGCAACUCAAGAUCCGAACCACAUCUGUGACCUACACCACAGCUCACGGCUAAGCCGGAUCUUUAAACCGCUGAGCAAGGCCAGGGAUCAAACCCGCAGCCUCAUGGUUCCUAGUCGGAUUUGUUAACCACUGAGCCACGACGGGAACACCACAAAUUUUCUCAUUAAAUGAAAAGAAUCUCUUCCAGGUCCUGGUGUAUUAGCUGAGAACAAUUUUUAUAUAAUAGCAAUUCUAAAAUAGAUACCUUUGAAUUAUGUUUUUUGUUUGUUUUGCUCUUUAGGGCCACAUUGCAGCACAUGGAAGUUCCCAGUCUAGGGGUCAAAUCGGAGCUGCAGCUGCUGGCCUACGCCACAGCCACAGCAACACCCGAUCCUUAAUCCAUUGAACGAGGCCAACGAUUGAACCCACCUCCUUAUGGAUACUUGCCAGGUUCAUAACCCGCUGAGCCACAAUGGGAACUCCUGAAUUCUGCUUGUUGUUGUUGUGUUUUUGUGGGGUUGUUUGUUUUUGAUGUUGUUGUUGUUUUGGCUGAGCCAUGCAGAUGUUCCCAGGCCGGGGAUCGAACCCUCGCCACAGCGUGGUGACAACACGAGAUCCUUAACCACUAGGCCAUUAGGGAACUCCUGAAUUCUGUUUUUGAAUUUAACUUUAUGUCUUGGCUGGUUUUGCACAUGGCCAGCAGAAUCCUAACAAAGUCAAUCCCUCCCUCCAUGAAGGGAUACAGUGUAUAACUUACUUAACCAUCUAGAGGCUAGAUUAUUUCAUUGGUUCUGUUUUUUAAAUAUCAUAAACAAUGUAUAAUGAAUUUGUGCUUGUAGCCUUUGCUUUCUUCUGGAUUAUUUCCUUGGGAUAAAUUCCCAAAAGUUUUAUUCCAAAAAGAGGGGAGGGGCAUGUUUACAAUUGUUUUUUUUUGUUUUGUUUUUUUUGUCUUUUUAGGGCUGCACCCAUGGCAUACAGAGGUUCCCAGGUUAGGGGUCUAAUCAGAGAUGUAGCUGCCGGCCUACACCACAGCCACAGCAAUGUAGGAUCCGAGCCAUGUCUGCGACCUACACCACCGCUCACAGCAACGCCAGAUCCUUAACCCACUGAGCAAGGCCAGGGAUCGAACCCGCAACCUCAUGGUUCCUAGUCAGAUUUGUUAACCACUGUGCCAUGAUGGGAACUCCUACAAUUCUUCAUAGGUCUUUCCAAAAUCUUUUCAUACCAAUUUAUAUGUGUAAGCAGCAACAUAGAACUAUGGGUUUCCCUACAAAUUUGGCAGCAUUGCGUGUGAUUUUUCUUCGUGUUUCCAAGUAAAGAGGUAUAAAAUGGCAUAUAUAUGUAUGUAUAUACAUAUGUGUGUGCGUGUGUGUGUGUGUAUAUAUAUAAUUUUUUUUGUCUGCCCCGAGGCAUAUGGAGUUCCCAGGCCAGGAAUCAGAUCCCAGCUGCAGGUGCAACCUACGCUGCAGCUGCAGCAACACAGGAUCCUUAACCCACUGUGCAAGCCUGGGGAUCUAACCCUUGUCCCAGUGCUCUAGAUACACCCCUGAUCCCAUUGAGCCGCACCGGGAACUUCUCCUUUCUCUCUGUUUUUAUUUGCUUGUCUUUGAUUGUUAAUGACCUUGAACUUCUCUCCAUGCUUUUGUGCUUUUGUAUUUGUGCUCGCACACAUUAUGUCUCUGGCCUUUGUCCUUUUUAGGGGUGUUGUUGGCGUCUUUAUUUUUUUCAUAACUUUUAUGAGCUUGAGACAGAGUAGAGAUAUUAACCCUUUACAAGCUGUUUCUGCUGUAAGUACACCACCCCACAGUAUGUUUUGUUCUGAACUUGUCGUCCAGGUUUGUUACAAAGGGCUGGUUGCUUCUGCGUACUUCAUACAUAGGCAGAGUUCAAGAGGAAAGGGCGGAGUGCUGGUGGAGUGGGGGACACCCCUGGUGGGAGCCAGGCAUGUGCAUGUGACACCCUCCCCCCCAAGUCAGGGUGUGAUGUCAUCACGCUCCUCCCAGCAUCCUCAGGGCCCCCCGAGGCUUGGUUGCCAGUACCUCCCCUAGUGAGACCCAGGCUCUUACUGGACAUUGCCAAGGUCAUGAGGGUACUCAUGCCAUCCUCAGUAAGGCCUCGGGGUCUGGGCCUGGAGGAGGGUGGGCAGAGCCUCCACGUUCUGUGUGUGAUGCUCUAAGCUGGUCACAUCUGGAAUGUGUCAGGGCAGGUGCAGCCAUGGUGAGGCGCAGUUCACUUGCCACACCCUGGCUUUGAACAGUGCUUCCCAGCCUGCCCAUGUCAUCACGCACAGAAAAUCAUACUUGUAGGGCCCGAUGUGGUAAAGGAGGAGCUGUCUAACCUCAAAAUCAAUAGCCUGAAGCUCCACCCUGAGGAUGCACCUGCCGCAGGGUGCAAAGGUCACAGAUGCUGGACUUUUCCUCAGCGCCCUUAGAUUUUCACUGACCACCUCCUCAAAGUCCUUUCAGCGUGUGUCCCCUGCUCAGUCCCAAAGCUAGCUUCAUAGUUUUAGGAUUUUGUUACUUCAGCACCCCGCUUCCAAGUAUCAGAAUGUGUAUCUGUUUUCUAUUGCUAUGUAGUGAAAUACCCCCAACAUUCAGUGGCUUAGAACAAAAGUGAACCUCUAUUUCCUCGCACUUUCUGUGGGGCAGGGAUUCCGGGGUAGCCUGGUUGAGAAGUGUUUGCUUAGGGUCUCAAGGGGUCUCGAGAAGUUGCCACCAGGAUGCUGGCUUGGGCUGCAAUAAUCAAGGCUGGACUUGCAAGGCGGCUCAUUCACAUGGAGGUCAGAUCGGUGCUGGUGGGUGGUGGGAAGCUUUGCUUCUCCCCAUGUGGGUCUCUUGAAUGUCCUUGUCACGUGGCAGCUGGCCUCUUCCAGAACCCAAGAUGCAGCAGAGCAAAUGGAAGCCACGUCUGUCAGCUCCGUUAAACUUCAUAGGUCACACAGACUGGCUGAUUCAUUGAGGGCGGGGUCUGCACCCAGGAGUGAAUCCCAGGAGGUGGAGACUAUUGGGGGCCAUCUCAAAGGCUGUUAUGGGCUGCAUCACGUCCCUAAAAUUCCUUUGUCAUGGAGUUCCUGUCAUGGCUCAGCAGAUAAUGAACCCGACGAGUAUCCAUGAGGAUGCGAGUUCCAUCCCUGGCCUCGUUCAGUGGGCUAAGGAUCCAGUGUUGCCUUGAACUGUGGUGUAGGUCAAAGAUGUGGCUCAGAUCCUGUGUUGCUGUGGCUGUGGUGUAGACCAGCAGCUGCAGCUCCGAUUCGACUCCUAGCCCGAGAACCUCCAUAUGCAGUGGGUGUGGCCCUAAAAAGGCAAAAAAUAAAAUAAAAUAAUAGAAAAUUCCUUUGUUGAACUCGUAACCCCUGGUCCCUUAGGCUGUGGCUGUUGAGGGAGAUGGAGCCUUCAAAGAUGGGACUAAAUGAAACUGAGGUCCUGUGGGCGGGUCCUGGUCCCCCGUGGCUGCUGUCCUUGGGAGAAGAAGAGGAGAUUGGGACACGGGCACACACGGGGAAGAGGCGUGAGGACCCGGGGAGAGGCUGGCCAUUUGCAGGCUGAGGAGAGAGGCCUCAGAAACAGCCAGCUCUCCUGACAUCUUGGACUUCUGGCCUCCAUCACGGAGAGGAAACAAAAUUCUGCCUUCAAGCUGCCCGGUUCGUGGUACUUGUCACUCCAGCCCUAGACACGAAUCCGAAGGCUGACCAUCAUGGCUAUCAAGUAAGAAAGAAGAGUGGCAAGGCGGAUGACCAUGCCAUCAGUCAAAAAGUGACAUCUUACGGUCACACAGGUUCAAACACAGAUAGAUCUGGUGUCUCUUCGGGAGGGUGGUAACCCAAAGACACUUUUGAAAGAACUUCUAGCAAGUCAGAUCCCUCAGAACUUCUGCCUCAUCUGGGGAGUUCCCAUGGUGGCUCAGUGGUAAUGAACCCAACUAGUGUCCAUGAGGAUCUGGGUUCGAUUCCUGGCCUCGCAGUGGGUUAAGGAUUCGGCAUUGCCACAAACUAUGGUGUAGGUUGCAGAUGUGGCUUGGAUAUGGUUUUGCUGUGACUGUGGUGUAGGCUGGCAGCUGCAACUCUGAUUCGAUCCCUAGCCUGGGAACUUCCAUAUGCUGUGGGUGUGGCCCUGGGGGGGGGGAAUCAGUCAAUCAAUCAAUCUUAUGUCUCACCUAGUGGAAGAGAACCUAUAAGGAAGGUAUGAAGGUGAUUGAACAAGGAGUUCCUGUUGUGGCUCAAUGAGUUAAGAACCCAGCUAGUAUCCACGAGAACGUGGGUUCAGUCCCUGGCCUCACUCAGCGGGUUAAAGAUCUGACAUUGGUCCAGAUGUGGCUCGGAUCUGAUGUUACUCUGGCUGUGGCGUCGGCAGGCAGCUGCAGCUCCCAUUUGACCCCUAGUGAGGGAACGUCCAUGUGCUGUGGGUGUGGCCCUAAAAAAAAGGAAAAGAAAGCGACUGAUCAUUAUUGGUUCUAAAUGAACACCAGUGAAACAGCAUCCUAACCCCAGAAGGGAGUGACCCUUCCCAGAGACCUGGGCAUGAACUUCAGAAAGCAGACCCACGGAAAGGUCCCUUGGCUGGGUGUCUUCAGUGGCCCGUCAUUUCCUGCUGCAGCUACGUUUUCUGGGUGGGCUCCAGGGAUUCUGUUUCCUUAAUAAGAGAGUGAGAAAACUACACAAUAGGCCUCAAAGGCUGGGCUCAGGGUGCCCCAAGGCCAAGUGUGGGCAGGUCUGAACUUCUCAGCCAAGGAUCAAGGUUCCAGGGCCUCCCACUGCCAAGACAGAGUCUCUUAAGAGCAAGCAGCCUCAUUAUCUAAAUAAACACAGGUUGGAAGGAGCAGUUAACUUCAGUUUCAGUGUUCAAUGGUAGCCAAGAAAAUAAAAAUUAAAUGGCUGAAUAUCUUGUUAUCACAUGUGUUGGGGCAGAGGGUGCUUUGCCAGGAAGAGAAGGUGCAAACAAAAUCAGCCUGGGAGGGAAAUAACCACUUAAAAAAAAAAAUUCCUGCCAGUGGUUCAGAGCUCUGUGUCAACAAGGAAAUGGUCAGACCUGAAUCGGACCUGAAUUAGCUUGGGCCUCUUCCUGAAAACAUGCUGUGGGUUCUUUCACUCUCACCAAGAUAAAUUCUUUCGCUCCCAGGGCCGCUAUGAGGGCCAAAGCAUGCCUCUAUAAAUCACGGGGGUCACAGGACCUCCUGGGUCCAAGAGGAUUGUGGUCUUAUCAAUGGGAAUCUUCUUUUCUUUCCUUCCUCUAGUAGCCUUAAAGAAAAUGGCCGGGCUCACGUCCUAAGAAAAGAUAAAGUUUCUAGGGCUCUCCUCCAACUCCGACAGGAGUGCGAAUAUUGGUCUAACUUUCCUGGAUAACACUUUGGCCGUGUGUAUCAAAAGCCUGCGUGUUUUGAAUGCCCUUUGACGAAGCGAUCUACUUCCAAGAAUUAGAACCUAUCAUGGUUGUGUACAGAUAUUAAGCUCUGAGGAUGUUUCACAUAGAAUUCUUUGUAACAUUAAAGAAUGGAGAUCAUCCGAAAUGGGGAUCGUCACUCUGGUGGGGUAUUGUAAAUAGAGCCAGUACCUCCACAAAAUGAGAAACUCUGCAGCUCUGGAGUUCCCAUCGUGGCGCAGCACGAACAAAUCCGACGAGGAACCAUGAGGUGUCAGGUUCGAUCCCUGGCCUCGCUCCGUGGGUUAAGGAUCCGGCAUUGCUGUGAGUUGUGGUGUAGGUUGAAGACUCGGCUCUGACCCUGCAUUGCUGUAGCUGUGGCAUAGGGCGGCAGCUGUAGCUCCGAUUAGACCCCUAGCCUGGGAACCUCCAUAUGCCACGGGUGUGGCCCUAAAAAGCAAAAAGAAAAAAAGAAAAGAAAAA